rnacentral:rRNA from 2 species
UUAAGCGACUAAGCGUACACGGUGGAUGCCCUGGCAGUCAGAGGCGAUGAAGGACGUGCUAAUCUGCGAAAAGCGUCGGUAAGGUGAUAUGAACCGUUAUAGCCGGCGAUGUCCGAAUGGGGAAACCCAGUGCAAUUCGUUGCACUAUCGUUUGAUGAAUACAUAGUCAAACGAGGCGAACCGGGGGAACUGAAACAUCUAAGUACCCCGAGGAAAAGAAAUCAACCGAGAUUCCCCCAGUAGCGGCGAGCGAACGGGGAGCAGCCCGGAGUCUGAAUCAGCUUGUGUGUUAGUGGAAGCGUCUGGAAAGUCGCAGGGUACAGGGUGAUACUCCCGUACACUAAAACACACAGGCUGUGAACUCGAAGAGUAGGGCGGGACACGUGGUAUCCUGUCUGAAUAUGGGGGGACCAUCCUCCAAGGCUAAAUACUCCUGACUGACCGAUAGUGAACCAGUACCGUGAGGGAAAGGCGAAAAGAACCCCGGCGAGGGGAGUGAAAAAGAACCUGAAACCGUGUACGUACAAGCAGUAGGAGCCUCUUUAUGGGGUGACUGCGUACCUUUUGUAUAAUGGGUCAGCGACUUAUAUUCUGUAGCAAGGUUAACCGUAUAGGGGAGCCGCAGGGAAACCGAGUCUUAACUGGGCGUUAAGUUGCAGGGUAUAGACCCGAAACCCGGUGAUCUAGCCAUGGGCAGGUUGAAGGUUGGGUAACACUAACUGGAGGACCGAACCGACUAAUGUUGAAAAAUUAGCGGAUGACUUGUGGCUGGGGGUGAAAGGCCAAUCAAACCGGGAGAUAGCUGGUUCUCCCCGAAAGCUAUUUAGGUAGCGCCUCGUGAACUCAUCUUCGGGGGUAGAGCACUGUUUCGGCUAGGGGGUCAUCCCGACUUACCAACCCGAUGCAAACUACGAAUACCGAAGAAUGUUAUCACGGGAGACACACGGCGGGUGCUAACGUCCGUCGUGAAGAGGGAAACAACCCAGACCGCCAGCUAAGGUCCCAAAGUCAUGGUUAAGUGGGAAACGAUGUGGGAAGGCCCAGACAGCCAGGAUGUUGGCUUAGAAGCAGCCAUCAUUUAAAGAAAGCGUAAUAGCUCACUGGUCGAGUCGGCCUGCGCGGAAGAUGUAACGGGGCUAAACCAUGCACCGAAGCUGCGGCAGCGACACUAUGUGUUGUUGGGUAGGGGAGCGUUCUGUAAGCCGUUGAAGGUGGCCUGUGAGGGUUGCUGGAGGUAUCAGAAGUGCGAAUGCUGACAUAAGUAACGAUAAUGCGGGUGAAAAACCCGCACGCCGGAAGACCAAGGGUUCCUGUCCAACGUUAAUCGGGGCAGGGUGAGUCGACCCCUAAGGCGAGGCCGAAAGGCGUAGUCGAUGGGAAACAGGUUAAUAUUCCUGUACUCGGUGUUACUGCGAAGGGGGGACGGAGAAGGCUAUGUUGGCCGGGCGACGGUUGUCCCGGUUUAAGCAUGUAGGCGGAUGUUCCAGGUAAAUCCGGAACGUUAUCAACGCUGAGGUGUGAUGACGAGGCACUACGGUGCUGAAGUGACAAAUGCCCUGCUUCCAGGAAAAGCCUCUAAGCAUCAGGUAACAUCAAAUCGUACCCCAAACCGACACAGGUGGUCAGGUAGAGAAUACCAAGGCGCUUGAGAGAACUCGGGUGAAGGAACUAGGCAAAAUGGUGCCGUAACUUCGGGAGAAGGCACGCUGAUAUGUAGGUGAAGUGGUUUACCCAUGGAGCUGAAAUCAGUCGAAGAUACCAGCUGGCUGCAACUGUUUAUUAAAAACACAGCACUGUGCAAACACGAAAGUGGACGUAUACGGUGUGACGCCUGCCCGGUGCCGGAAGGUUAAUUGAUGGGGUUAUCCGUAAGGAGAAGCUCUUGAUCGAAGCCCCGGUAAACGGCGGCCGUAACUAUAACGGUCCUAAGGUAGCGAAAUUCCUUGUCGGGUAAGUUCCGACCUGCACGAAUGGCGUAAUGAUGGCCAGGCUGUCUCCACCCGAGACUCAGUGAAAUUGAACUCGCUGUGAAGAUGCAGUGUACCCGCGGCAAGACGGAAAGACCCCGUGAACCUUUACUAUAGCUUGACACUGAACACUGGUCCUUGAUGUGUAGGAUAGGUGGGAGGCUUUGAAGCGUGGACGCCAGUCUGCGUGGAGCCAUCCUUGAAAUACCACCCUUUAAUGGCUGGUGUUCUAACGUGGGCCCGUUAUCCGGGUUGCGGACAGUGUCUGGUGGGUAGUUUGACUGGGGCGGUCUCCUCCUAAAGAGUAACGGAGGAGCACGAAGGUCAGCUAAUCCUGGUCGGACAUCAGGAGGUUAGUGCAAUGGCAUAAGCUGGCUUGACUGCGAGCGUGACGGCGCGAGCAGGUGCGAAAGCAGGUCAUAGUGAUCCGGUGGUUCUGAAUGGAAGGGCCAUCGCUCAACGGAUAAAAGGUACUCCGGGGAUAACAGGCUGAUACCGCCCAAGAGUUCAUAUCGACGGCGGUGUUUGGCACCUCGAUGUCGGCUCAUCACAUCCUGGGGCUGAAGUAGGUCCCAAGGGUAUGGCUGUUCGCCAUUUAAAGUGGUACGCGAGCUGGGUUUAGAACGUCGUGAGACAGUUCGGUCCCUAUCUGCCGUGGGCGCUGGAGAAUUGAGGGGGGCUGCUCCUAGUACGAGAGGACCGGAGUGGACGCAUCACUGGUGUUCGGGUUGUCAUGCCAAUGGCAUUGCCCGGUAGCUAAAUGCGGAAGAGAUAAGUGCUGAAAGCAUCUAAGCACGAAACUUGCCCCGAGAUGAGUUCUCCCUGACUCCUUGAGAGUCCUGAAGGAACGUUGAAGACGACGACGUUGAUAGGCCGGGUGUGUAAGCGCAGCGAUGCGUUGAGCUAACCGGUACUAAUGAACCGUGAGGCUUAACCUU